rnacentral:rRNA from 1 species
UACAGAGGGGGCUAGCGUUGUUCGGAAUUACUGGGCGUAAAGGGAGCGUAGGCGGCUUUCCAAGUCAGGUGUGAAAUCCCGGAGCUUAACUUCGGAAUUGCACUUGAAACUAGAGAGCUUGAGGACGAGAGAGGAUAGUAGAAUUCCUAGUGUAGGAGUGAAAUCCGUAGAUAUUAGGAGGAAUACCAGUGGCGAAGGCGGCUAUCUGGCUCGUUUCUGACGCUGAGGCUCGAAAGCGUGGGGAUCAAACAGG